AGUCUAAAGGCAGCAGGCGGGCAACCAGGCUUCUCCAAUGCAUAGUGGCGAGGUUGGUUCCGCCACACCGACAUCAAGUUCAUUCAUGUCCAGCAUCUCAGGAGUGCAUAUUGGAGACUCUUAACACUAAUUUUGUGUACUCUGUACAUACUUUAUUUCUCUUUCUUUUUCCUUUAUUACAUUUAUGAGGGGAGAUUGAUAAGACCAGGCAUUUUUAUUAAGGGGUGCCCUCGAUGGCACAAGAUUCAGGAAUCUUUAUUCUAUACGCCUUCCUCUGUCACUGUCUGUAUAUUUUCUACUACCUAGGCAACCUGUUCAAAACUGUUUGUAAACCCUCUCUUUAUACUUUGACCUAUUAUUUAGAUGCAGCUAGCACUUAGGCAACUUGUGUGACUUUUAACCGGUUAACUGCUGACUGUCAGCAGUCCUUCACAGCUGAGCUACUACUUUGUGCUCCGCUGUGGUCAAGCAUAAGAUAACAUCAUUCAGUGCAGGCAGCCGUUGUUACACGAGAAUAUACUGCUAGGUAUCUUGCAGAAAAAACUGAGCCAGUUCAGGUACCCCUUAUUUUACACUUUACUGCUUGACAGCAAGCUUUAAUUUAUUAUCCAUACGCUGCUAUGAUCUAUGAUCUUUUGUGAUAUUUAACUGGCUAAUCGCCGUCUGUCAGAAAUCUGUCUCAGCUGAGCCAUUAUCUUUGAUCUUUUUGAGGUUAAGCACCAUAGAACAUUAUCAAUUGUUGUAUGUGGAGCUAACCCAUGUCGUUAGUUGUACUAUCAUGUAGGGAUUUACUUAUCCAUAUACUUUUUAACUAUUGACAGCACUGGUUUUGCAGUAGUCUUAUAUCCCCCCUCUUGUUACAGUUAUUAGUGAUAUAUAAUACAGUAUCAGUUCUAUUACUUGGAAAUACACUGAUGUUAUAUUGUAGCAAACAGUAUUGCUUCAGCAUUAGUGCUAUUAUGUAUACACUUUUACAGCUUAUAUAAGUAGUCGCAGAGUUUUACUCGCUGUAUAGUCUCCACCCAC